rnacentral:rRNA from 1 species
UACGUAGGGGGCGAGCGUUGUCCGAAUUUACUGGGCGUAAAGCGCGCGUAGGCGGACUAAUAAGUUGGUGGUGAAAUCCCGAGGCUCAACCUCGGGUCUGCUGCCAAUACUGUUAGUCUUGAGUUAUGGAGGGGAAAGUGGAAUUCCUGGUGUAGCGGUGAAAUGCGUAGAUAUCAGGAGGAACACCGAUGGCGAAGGCAGCUUUCUGGCCAUAUACUGACGCUGAGGUGCGAAAGCUAGGGGAGCGAACGGG